rnacentral:rRNA from 1 species
CGGGGGCACGGGGGGCGUACGGGAGGCAGCAGUAACGAAUAUUAGUCAAUGGACGCAAGUCUGAACCAGCCAUGCCGAGCGAAGGAUCAAGGUCCUGUGGAUUGUAAACUUCUUUUAUAUGGGACGAAAUCAGUCGAUUCUUAGUCACUUGACGGUACCAGAAGAAUAAGCACCGGCUAA